rnacentral:rRNA from 1 species
UACAGAGGUCUCAAGCGUUGUUCGGAUUCAUUGGGCGUAAGGGGUGCGUAGGUGGCGCUGUAAGUCGGGUGUGAAAUUUCGGAGCUUAACUCCGAAACUGCGUUCGAUACUGCGGUGCUUGAGGACUGGAGAGGAGACUGGAAUUCAUGGUGUAGCAGUGAAAUGCGUAGAGAUCAUGAGGAAGACCAGUGGCGAAGGCGGGUCUCUGGACAGUUCCUGACACUGAGGCACGAAGGCCAGGGGAGCAAACGGG